rnacentral:misc_RNA from 1 species
AAAGUCGUAACAAGGUUUCCGUAGGUGAACCUGCGGAAGGAUCAUUAACAACGUAUCCUAAAACGUAGAAAAAACCCCCCCGUGAAUCAUGCGGCAAGGCAUGAUAUAACCUGGACUACCCCCAAGCAUUGGCGCGCAAUGUUCUGUCAGUGGGCAUUGUUUGUGUAAGGGUGGCGUUUAAAACAACGAUUGCUGGAGACCACCACGGUCGGCAACCAGGUCCCCUAAAACCCGAUAUGACAAUUAGGCUCCCGUCGAACGACCUGGUGGGCAAACCAAUAUACGACUGUUACAAUGGAUAUCUCGGAUCUC